GGAACCGUUUGAGUCGUAAACUGUAUUAUUGUUGUACAUGAGGGAAAGAGAGUACGUCUCUCUCUCUUUCUCGUUUGACAACAAGAUCAAAAAAGAGUAAACAGAGAGAAAUUGACAACAGAUUAGAAAGGA
ensembl:ncRNA Y73B6BL.282 ncRNA